GACGAACGCUGGCGGCGUGCUUAACACAUGCAAGUCGAACGGAAAGGCCCUGCUUUUGUGGGGUGCUCGAGUGGCGAACGGGUGAGUAACACGUGAGUAACCUGCCCUUGACUUUGGGAUAACUUCAGGAAACUGGGGCUAAUACCGGAUAGGAGCUCCUGCUGCAUGGUGGGGGUUGGAAAGUGUCGGCGGUUGGGGAUGGACUCGCGGCUUAUCAGCUUGUUGGUGGGGUAGUGGCUUACCAAGGCUUUGACGGGUAGCCGGCCUGAGAGGGUGACCGGCCACAUUGGUACUGAGAUACGGACCAGUCUCCUACGGGAGGCAGCAGUGGGGAAUAUUGCACAAUGGGCGGACGCCUGAUGCAGCAACGCCGCGUGCGGGAUGACGGCCUUCGGGUUGUAAACCGCUUUCGCCUGUGACGAAGCGUGAGUGACGGUAAUGGGUAAAGAAGCACCGGCUAACUACGUG
rnacentral:rRNA from 1 species